AAUAUUUAUUGUAACACCAGGGUCAGGCAAACAACAGGUUAAGGCAGGCAGGGGUCGAUAAUCCAGAGUAGGAGCAAAGGUACAAAACGGCAGGCAGGCUCAGGCCGAGUUCAGUAAUCCAGAGGUGGAGUAAAGGUAGAGGACGGCAGGUAGGCUCAGGGAGAGUUCAGUAAUCCAGAGGUGGAGUAAAGGUAGAGGACGGCAGGUAGGCUCAGGGAGAGUUCAGUAAUCCAGAGGUGGAGUAAAGGUAGAGGACGGCAGGUAGGCUCAGGGAGAGUUCAGUAAUCCAGAGGUGGAGUAAAGGUAGAGGACGGCAGGCAGGCUCAGGCCGAGUUCAGUAAUCCAGAGGUGGAGUAAAGGUACAGGACGGCAGGCAGGCUCAGGCCGAGUUCAGUAAUCCAGAGGUGGAGUAAAGGCAGAGGACGGCAGGUAGGCUCAGGGAGAGUUCAGUAAUCCAGAGGUGGAGUAAAGGUACAGGACGGCAGGCAGGCUCAGGCCGAGUUCAGUAAUCCAGAGGUGGAGUAAAGGUACAGGACGGCAGGCAGGCUCAGGCCGAGUUCAGUAAUCCAGAGGUGGAGUAAAGGUAGAGGACGGCAGGUAGGCUCAGGGAGAGUUCAGUAAUCCAGAGGUGGAGUAAAGGUAGAGGACGGCAGGCAGGCUCAGGCCGAGUUCAGUAAUCCAGAGGUGGAGUAAAGGUACAGGACGGCAGGCAGGCUCAGCCAGAGUGGUCAGGCAGGCGGGUACAGGCAGAGUUCAGUAAUCCAGAGGUGGAGUAAAGGUAGAGGACGGCAGGCAGUUUCAGGCAGAGUUCAGUAAUCCAGAGGUGGAGUAAAGGUAGAGGACGGCAGGUAGGCUCAGGGAGAGUUCAGUAAUCCAGAGGUGGAGUAAAGGUAGAGGACGGCAGGUAGGCUCAGGGAGAGUUCAGUAAUCCAGAGGUGGAGUAAAGGUAGAGGACGGCAGGUAGGCUCAGGGAGAGUUCAGUAAUCCAGAGGUGGAGUAAAGGUAGAGGACGGCAGGCAGUUUCAGGCAGAGUUCAGUAAUCCAGAGGUGGAGUAAAGGUAGAGGACGGCAGGUAGGCUCAGGGAGAGUUCAGUAAUCCAGAGGUGGAGUAAAGGUAGAGGACGGCAGGUAGGCUCAGGGAGAGUUCAGUAAUCCAGAGGUGGAGUAAAGGUAGAGGACGGCAGGUAGGCUCAGGGAGAGUUCAGUAAUCCAGAGGUGGAGUAAAGGUACAGGACGGCAGGCAGGCUCAGGGAGAGUUCAGUAAUCCAGAGGUGGAGUAAAGGUACAGGACGGCAGGCAGGCUCAGGGAGAGUUCAGUAAUCCAGAGGUGGAGUAAAGGUAGAGGACGGCAGGCAGGCUCAGGGAGAGUUCAGUAAUCCAGAGGUGGAGUAAAGGUAGAGGACGGCAGGUAGGCUCAGGGAGAGUUCAGUAAUCCAGAGGUGGAGUAAAGGUACAGGACGGCAGGCAGGCUCAGGGAGAGUUCAGUAAUCCAGAGGUGGAGUAAAGGUACAGGACGGCAGGCAGGCUCAGGGAGAGUUCAGUAAUCCAGAGGUGGAGUAAAGGUACAGGACGGCAGGCAGGCUCAGGCCGAGUUCAGUAAUCCAGAGGUGGAGUAAAGGUAGAGGACGGCAGGCAGGCUCAGCCAGAGUGGUCAGGCAGGCGGGUACAGGGUCAUGACAGGCAAGGAAGGCAGGGAAAGACAUGCGCUGACAGGACGAACGCUGGUAAACUUGACAAACAAGACAAACUGGCAGGGACAGACAGGAAACACAGGUAUAAAUACCAAGGGGGUAAGUGGGGAAGAUGGGCGACACCUGGUGGGGGUGGAGACAAGCAUAAGGACAGGUGAAACAGAUCAGGGCGUGACACAGGUGUAGUAAGGAUUCACUCCAUGGUGCAACAAAAGAAAGCUCUGCUGUUGGGACAGCUUUACGUCGGCCCUAACAGUUUAUGGGCACCGCUUGUCACCUGUUAUAGUGCAAGCAAUGUAUUGUUUAGUGUUGUGUUGUGUUGGCUUUGCUGGCAUGCAUAAAAAAUAUAUGUUUUGAGUUUGCCCCACCAAUAUUUACAUGCUAAAGUCAUCACUGUGUGUAACUAGUCCACAGCCUGUACUAGGUAAGAUGCCCAAAUAAUAAUUUCUAGUUGAAUGAACAUGAGACAAUUUGAGCAAAUUCAUUUUUUUAAGUUAACAUACUUUUUUACCUACAUUUUCUCAAUUUGGAGCUAAGUUUUUUGUUUGUUGUUAGUAGCAGUUACUUAAUAAAUAUUAGUUAAAACAACUCUAUUAUGUUUUGGUGCAGUGUUUUGAACAUCUUUCAACUGCUUCACUAAUGUUGAUGAAUAUCUCUCUCAAGGGAAGCAAUGGUUGUUUUAACUAUAGCCUGUGGUGUAUCAGAACUUGUGUGUUUGCAGUACCCACUCUCUCCUUGUCUCUCCAUUCCCUUCU